UUGCUUGUUGUCGUGUUAUUUUGAAAUCAAUUGUUUUUUUUUUUGAAAACGCGCCCUAAAGCUAUCCAAUUUCAACAGUUAAAAUAAGUAAUACCUAUCUUAGUAAUACAUAUUAAAAUCAUCAAAAAUAAUUAAGCGGCCUUAUUACAUUUAAAAACCCAAACCUCAACGUAAAUAAUAGGAUGUCCAGUUCACCAGAAGAAAACCAAACUUUCAGAACGGGUGGCCACUCCGAAUUCCCUCACAGCUCCAAGCCCACUAUGGUUGGGGAUUUCCUGCAUGGAUGAAAAUAAAAUGGGUGAGUUUGGGGAAACUCAAUGUGUAAGGAAAACCCAUUCAAAGCCCAAGUCAGCUCAAGUCUAUUGGGCCUAAACCCAUUCAGGUAACAGUGGUAUUGGACUAGAACCCUUUUUAGAUUACAAUAAACUAAGCCUUAGCCCAUUAUUCAGAUAACAGUAUAGCCCAUAAGCCCAUUUCAAAAUAUAUGCAACAUCAAUAACAUAUGCAAGCCCAUUUGGGGAGACUACUCAACCCACCAACCACUACACUCUACCCGUACCAACCCUACACUACAUGUGGGGAAUAGCUCAACCCACCCAGCCCAACACUCCACAGUUACAGCCUUGCUGCUCAGUUAACAGUAAAUUCAGGCAAAGCCUCCAGUAUGUGGACAAGCCACUUUCAGUACUUCCUCCGUCAAUAUCCCAAUCCCAUGCAUCAGAUAAUAACAACAUGACAUGCAGUAAAUAAUAACAGUCAAACAUGCAUUUAGGUCAAUUUAACCCUAGGGGUAUUUCAGUAAUUUAUCUACUAGGGAUAAAACUGUAAAUUUUUCACUUUUAAAGGUAUUUCAGUAAUUUAUCUAUUUUAGGGUUUUUUAUGCAUAUUCCUACUUUUCACGUACUAACAGAACCACGUACCGAAGGUUCUUACCGAAUUGGGCCCGUUGGCCCAUCAUUCCAAUUUUGGCCCAUUAAGCCCAAAAAUAUCGAGAGCAUAGAAAUCAUGCACUUUGUAGUUCAAAUUUUGCAGCUUACCAAAAACAUUAAUCGAUUUACCUCACGAGCAUUUGCACACUCGCAAAUCUACAAAAUACCGAUUUUCGGCAUUUCGGCUUUUUGACUUUUGCCGAUCCAGACUAAGAAAGAGGGUGUUAGUUACACACCUAUUUGCGACGAUAUGCUGACGAGAUCCACACACGAACUGCCUACAAUUGGAUUACUAACACGUUAAUCUAACUAUUCAAAUACGAACUACGUAUUAACCCCUUACAAUAUUCGGCCAACCAUACCUACAGAUCAUAGUAAGCUUAUAAGAAAUCAAUAAGUAACUCAUUAACAAAUUUUUGUCAAUGCUUACCACAUAAUCAUAAUCUCACUGCAAGCUAUCUUCCUGAACAACAGUCACUAAAUCAUUUAUAACUGGAACUACGAAACUCCAAAUCAAGUGCCGUUAAUUUUCUCUGAAAAGAAACUCAUAUAUCUUAUAUCCAUAAAAUUUUCAGAAUUUUUGGUUUAGCCAAUUAAUACCAGAUUUUUCUCAAAGUUUCGCAUGUUUCACUGUUUGACUAAUCUGACCACUCUUCAUUACGAAUCAAAUUUCUCAUUGUACAGAAUUCAAAAUAUGUUCUCGUUUAUUCCAUUUGAAACUAGACUCAUUAAGAUUUAAUUACAUAAUUUAUGCAGCUUCUAACUCAUCUCCCACAAUUUAUGGUGAUUUUUCAAAGUCACGUUACUGCUGCUGUCCCAAGCAGAUUUAUUACCAAAUCACUCUUUCACACCUAACUUGCAUACUUGUUAUUUAAACAUGUAUAUCACCAAUAAAUUAUCAAAUAUCUAUGAUUUUACUUAAGUAUAAUCUCCAUUUCAUCAUUUUAAAGCACACCAUGUUAGCCGAUUUUUCCCUUUAGCAUCUAAGGCAUAUGCAUGCUCAUUUGUUUGGCUCAACUUCACCUAUCUUCCAUUUUUCAUCAAAAGAAUAUGAAACAACAACCAUUUCCUUCAUUUUAAUUCAUGACUAAAUGCUCACAACACAACUAAAAACCAAAAUAUGCUUCAAGAGUUAAGGUAGAAUCAAGAAGAACUCAUGAACAUUAAGAUAGAAGUAAACUACCAUGAACUUACAUUCAAUUUUCUUCCCCAAGUGACCGAACAUUCAAGAGCUUUCUCCUCUCCUUUCUCUUCUCUAACUUUCGGCUAUGAUGAACAAAGAUGGACAAAACUUUGUUCUUUUCACCCCUUUUUCUUUUAAUAAAAUUUCAUAUUUUAUCCAUUUAAUUCUUUAAUACAAAAGACAUGAAAUGCCCAUCAUGGAACAUUUACCUAAACCAUUAUCAUGGAAUAUUUACCUAACCCAUUAUCAUGGAAUAUUUACCUAAUCUAUUAUCAUGGAAUAUUUACCUAGCCCAUUAUCAAUUUGUACCAUGAAUUAUGAAUAUCAAGUGCUCAUAUUGUCUACAACAACAUGAUGGCUGUCCACUUCAUGUAAAAUUGGAGGUUUGACAUGCAAAUCCUCCUAUUUUGCACUACUAUUUAUUUGGCCACUACAAAUUAGCCUAUAGCAUUUUCAAACAUUUUCACAUAGGUCCUAUUUCUUAAUUUCACUCACAAAUGACAAAAUCAAAGCAUGAAAUUUUGCCAACAUUCACAGAAUUCCUGAAAAUUGGGGCGUUACAUUUUUAAUAUUUUUAAUAAAUUUUUUAUAUUCUAAAAAUUUUCCCAUAAUUCUUACAAAUAUUUUCUUUCAUAAUCUAUAUAAUUUAUAAAAUUUUUAAAAUUAUUUUAUCAGGUUAACAAUUUUUAGUAUUUUUAAAAUUUAUAUAAUUUUUUUGCACUUUAAUAUUUUUUAAUUAUAUAAUUUUGAAAAUAUUUUUAUAAUAUAUAUUUUUACAUUUUUUAUGCUUUUUAAUGAUUUUUAUAAAAUUUUAAUAAUUAUAUAUAUAAUUUUAAUUUUAAUUGUCAUUUGCUUUGUAACAUUGAUGGUUAAUUUUUACUGUUAAAGAACUUAAUUGAUUAUAAUUUAAAAUUUUGAGGGUUCAAUUGAGAAGACUCUUUAACCUUAAUUCUAUCAUAUCUCAGAAAUACAAAAAAAAAGAACGCAUAAAUAAAUAAUGCAAUAUACAAAGAGGCAUCACUGUAAGAAAGACACAUAUGAAAUAUUUAUUUUAUAAUUGAAAAUAACAUUAAAAGAGACAUACACAAAGAAUGCAAUACAAAAAGAGUUUUUUUUUUUCCAAACACAGAGCUGUCAUUACAAAAAAAUACAUAUAAAACAUUUAUUUUAUAAUUGAAAAUAAUAAUAUUAUUUAAUAUAUAUGGAUAAAAUCACUAAUUCUCUAUUUGGUUGAAGUAUUAUUUUUCCACAUAUUUUAGUCUUUGAUUUGCUAUAAACUAUAACAUUUCACAUAUUUUAAAUAAUUUAUAUUUUGUACACUAUAUGUUUAUAUUUGUACUAAUUAUAAAUGUCAUAACGUCGCCUACAUAAGAGUACGGGGCCUAAUAAGCAAAGCUAGACACGGAGGGACUAAAUUACGUAGAGUCGUCACUAACCAAUUAGGGCUAGGUUGGUUAGCCACUUAUCGUCUAAACAUCUAGAAUUAAUACUACAAAAAAAAAAUCCUAAAAAUCUAGACUCAAUCUCAUCACUAAAUUUCGGGUUCGGGAGUACGGUUAUGUGUGGGGAAGGUUAUGCCAUCCCCACAAUGCCUAUCCGAGGAUAGUCCUGCGAGGUUUUAAGAGUUAAAUUUUUUUAUUUAUUUAAGUAUAUUAAUGUCUUAAUUUAAGCUAAAAUCUUAUGGAAAUCUUAAAUAAAAACUCUAAAGGAAACACUUCCAGUUUGUAACUCGAUUAAGAUGUGUUCACUAAAUUUUAUUUAAUUUGAAACUUAAAUUAGAGAUUUUUAAUUUUAACGGGACCCUAAAGGAUACCUAAAUAAUUCUAAUAAAAUACCUUCAACUCCUAAAAUUAAUUCUAUUUUAGAAUUCUUUUAUUGUAUUAAGAAUAAUGGAUGUGGCAAAUGGGUAUUACCUUGUCCAAUUUCAGAGCAAGGUUGAUUAUGACACAGCGUUGACCUAAGGUCCAACCGUGGACGAUAGACUUUGACCCAUCAAGACCAUUCCCAAGUGGGGUGUUAGCCUGGAUCCGCUUCUCAAAUCUACCGAGGUUUUUGUAAAAAAAAAAAAAAGGUAUUAGAGGAGAUUAGAAGCUUAGUUGGGAAAGUGGCAAAACUUGAUAUUAAAAUGAACAAUAGAGCAAAAGGGCAAUUUUCCAAAACGGUUGUGUUUGUAGAUCUGGGAAAACCUCUUACCCAACAAGUUCUUAUCAAUGGCCAAGUACAACGAGUGGAGUUCGAGGCAUUACCUGAGGUGUGGUAAAUAUGGUCAUCUUAAAAGUUGAUGUCCUUCUUCUUUGACAGAUCGGAGUAGUCACGGUGGUGGAGAGAAUUUUACAAGCUUAACGAUCAAUGAAUCAGUGCCAGUGAAGACGGUUGAAGUUCCGGUGACGAUGGGCAAAGCCUUUGGACCGUGGAUGGUGGUUGAGUGCAAAUCUAAGCGCAAUCAGAACAGGAAUCGUAUUUUAAAAGCUAAAAUUUCGAAAAAAAAAUUGGAGGGUUCUAGAUUUGCAGCUUUAUCCUCACUGGAUAUGGAGGCGUAAGUUACAGAUAUGGAGGUGUCAUUCGGUUUAAAAAGGGUGUUUUUAUUGGAAAUUUAAAAGACAAGGGACUGGGGUUGCAGAAUGGGUCGAUGAUUGGGAAAAUUUUUGCCGAAGGAAUUUCGGGCCACGGUGGUGCUACUGGGGCUGAGAAACAGACUAGGUCAUUGAGGGAUAAAAAUGCUGGAUAGAUGCUGGAGACUUGAGACCAAGAUUCGACGCAGGCUGGGGCGUUUCGUAGGAGCGCCUUUGUCACAGCAGGCAGUGGGUCUUUCACAAGAGUGCCUUUGGUCAGAGUAGACAGUGGGCAUUUCGCAAGAGUGCCUUGGGUCAUAGUAGGCAGUGGGCCAAAACAAAUUUUUUUUUAGCUUAGGCUCCAAUGAGGCAAUGAGCUUUGACCAAACAGUCCGAGCUGCUCCUAUCUCCUUUACUAAUGACAAGGCAACCUCCUUUCAUGUGAAUCCCACCUUCGAGGGGCCCCAUGAAUUAAGGGUUGAUUUAAUUUCUAAUGUCCUAGAUCCUAAAAGGCAUACUGCCAUUACUUUCAAGGAAAAUUUGGAGCACAAUUCCAAAUCAAAAAU
rnacentral:lncRNA from 1 species